GACGAACGCUGGCGGCGUGCUUAACACAUGCAAGUCGAACGGAAAGGCCCUGCUUGCAGGGUACUCGAGUGGCGAACGGGUGAGUAACACGUGGGUGAUCUGCCCUGCACUUCGGGAUAAGCCUGGGAAACUGGGUCUAAUACCGGAUAGGAGCCAUUUUUAGUGUGAUGGUUGGAAAGUUUUUUCGGUGUAGGAUGAGCUCGCGGCCUAUCAGCUUGUUGGUGGGGUAAUGGCCUACCAAGGCGGCGACGGGUAGCCGGCCUGAGAGGGUGGACGGCCACAUUGGGACUGAGAUACGGCCCAGACUCCUACGGGAGGCAGCAGUGGGGAAUAUUGCACAAUGGCGCAAGCCGGAUGCAGCGACGCCGCGUGGGGGAUGACGGCCUUCGGGUUGUAAACUCCUUUCGCUAGGGACGAAGCUUUUUGUGACGGUACCUAGAUAAGAAGCACCGGCUAACUACGUG
rnacentral:rRNA from 1 species